rnacentral:rRNA from 1 species
GACAGAGGGUGCAAACGUUGUUCGGAUUUACUGGGCGUAAAGCGCGUGUAGGCGGCUUCGCAAGUUGGAUGUGAAAUCCCACGGCUCAACCGUGGACGUGCAUCCAAAACUGCGUCGCUGGAGUCUCGGAGAGGAAGGUGGAAUGCUUGGUGUAGAGGUGAAAUUCGUAGAUAUCAAGCAGAACACCUGCGGCGAAGGCGGCCUUCUGGACGAUGACUGACGCUGAGACGCGAAAGCGUGGGGAGCGAACAGG